AGCAGGAGGAGCAGGAGCAGGAGGAAGGGGCUUACCCUGCCCCUGAGGCGUCUGCCGCCGAGUCUGGGGCGCUUCAGGGCCGCCAGUGAGGAUGGGUGGAGCCUCCCAGCGCCCGAGGGGAUAAUACACCUGGGGAAGCUGAAAUACGAGUGGCCCAACUUGACCCAAACCCCUCCAGCAUGGCAGUCGAGCACUGAAGUAGCAGCCCAGCCAGACUCCUUACGGAACAACCUCAGAGGUAUUCAAGAGCCAAAGCCUGAUCUGAACACAGCACCAAGCCCAAUUUCGAGCGAGGGGGUGGACCGGAGGGCCUGCGGCAGCCCCUUCAGCCCCACAGUGGUGCAGGAUUUCACGGAAGCCCACAUGGUUGCAGGGCGUCCGGGAGUGCUGUUCCAGGUUGGGAAGGACCCCACUCUCCUUUCCACGCAUUUACUUCUUACUCCUGCUUGGUACCCUCCCUGCCAAUGGCUUGAAGUUGCGUUUUCAGAUUUGCAACACGCUUUUCUCCUCCCCUUGGACCUAUUCAACAUCCUCCAGCUGGAGAUCACCGAAGCUCCUAGGUUUGCAGGGAGUGACCCUGGGCCCAAGGCUAGAGCAGGCACUGGGCUACAGGGACCAAAAAUCACAUGACCCCUCCGUGAGCUUUUGUCUCCUCCAGCAGCUAUUUUUUGAUAUUUUCUCCAUCUCCCUCAGGCUUUACUUGCUACAUUUGGGAUUGCCGUGGCCAGGAGUGCUCUUCCAGCCCCCUCCUUCCCUUGUCUUCACACUGGCUGGCAGGAAGAACACCCAACAAGAGGUCUCACAUCUUUAUUACAGCCACUCCAUGUAAGCCUGUGUGCCACAGGUUGUGUGCAUGCUGCCACACCAAAUGAGAAGGUGGCAUAAAAGAAGGAAACAACGUAAUGGCCUGGUGAACGAAGAAGCCAAGAUUAUAAUUUAGAAGAGGCUUAAUCGAGACCAGAUGCAGAUGCACAUGGCUCCGUCCCCCGCACAGGCUGCAAUCAAACAUGAUCACAGUGCUUCCCCACCACGGACAUCUCCUUCAGCUUUCAUAGACGUAGGCUGCUAUGAACAUACUUGUGGAGAUGCAAUUUCUACAGCACAUGUAACUCAGACCAGCAGGUGGAGCCUGCUCGUCACCACAGUGGUGUGAGCAACAGAAAUCCUCCACCCUACCUACGAAUUACCAGCUCCAUAGAAAUAGCAUGGUCAGACCAAGAAGACGCAAAGGAAUAAGCAAAAAGGGAGGCUGCAGCGGUCAGGAUCACAAAACACCUCUAGUGCCUGAAAAGAUCUGUAUUCUCCUGCACCUUGAUCCAGCUGCUUGUCGAAGACACUCCACUCUCUUCUGUCUGGAAAAUUCAUCUGAAAAGACAAGGCCUGCAGAACUACCGAAUAGACUGGGAAUAGUUGUUACUAGCUGGAGAAAAGAAUGAGAAUCAACAAAGUAGUCGGAGACCUGAUAAAAUCAGUAAGGCUGGAGUCAGAAAUAAAACAGGGACAUGACACCCAAGAAGAGACUGGACCAGGGCACCCCCAAGAGAAUAGUGCCGGCCCACGUGCUGAAGCCAUCACCCUGAUACUAUCGCUCCAGCCAGUCAAGCCCCAUCUUCCACUUAGUUCAAACUGUCACAAGUUAGAACAAUAUUAAAUAUUUGGUAAGGAAAAAA